AACGAACGCUGGCGGCAUGCCUAACACAUGCAAGUCGAACGAGACCUUCGGGUCUAGUGGCGCACGGGUGCGUAACGCGUGGGAACCUGCCCUUAGGUUCGGAAUAACUCCCCGAAAGGGGUGCUAAUACCGGAUAAUGUCUUCGGACCAAAGAUUUAUCGCCUUUGGAUGGGCCCGCGUUGGAUUAGCUAGUUGGUAGGGUAAAAGCCUACCAAGGCGACGAUCCAUAGCUGGUCUGAGAGGAUGAUCAGCCACACUGGGACUGAGACACGGCCCAGACUCCAAGGGGAGGAGGCAGGGGGGAAAAUGGGACAAGGGGCGAAAGCUGGAUCCACCAAGGCGGGGGGAGUGAGGAAGGCUUUAGGGUUGUAAAGCUCUUUUACCCGGGAUGAUAAGACAGGUCCCGGAGGAAUAAGCUCCGCCAAACUCCGG
rnacentral:rRNA from 1 species